rnacentral:snoRNA from 1 species
AAGACUAUACUUUCAGCGGAUCAUUUCUAUAGUUCUGACUUGAGAAAGUGUUUCUAGAGUGUAUGGUCUCGCCAACCACAAUGAUGAGUUGUGAUAUUCUCUUGUGAGUAUGAAUCUGAUGGAGAACCUUGUUUAUGUAUAUAUGUUCUCCUGUCGUUGAAUGAUUGUUCUUUGCUUUCUGGGGGAGCAAUGAAGAAAGGAAUAUGUUCAGAGUCGU